CUCCCAUUCUGGCCACUCUCCCGCUCAGGCACUGGCUCCCUACGACCUACAGAUUUGGGUUUGGAUGCCGUUCCUUACUAGCAUGUGUGCCUUACCCUUGUGGCUCAUGCUGUUUCUGCUGGCCAAUGUUGAUUUAAGGGCAGGGUUUCAGACGUCCCUGAACACAGAGCUGUCCGUGCAGAAGAACUCGGAGGACUUGGAGGUGUUGACGGUGGGAGCCCUGGAGGAGUUUUAGCCUCGCACCUGAAAGCCUGUUCUGGGCUUGUGAGGAGGUGGAAGCAUCUAGAAGCAGCUGUAGCAGGAACCAGAAGAAGAAGGAAGGCAUCCCAGCACCCAGAAGGAGCUUCUGGCCCAGCUUCCCCGCUUCAGCUCCCAGUGUGUGUUGGUGUGGGGUAAAGUGGGCCCAUCAGUGGGCUCCCUGAAGAAAACCUAGGAACACUGGCUGACAGAGGGUCCUAGAGCACAGGAGGACCUAGCCAGAAAGUAUAACCUCAGCUCAGCU